CCUACGGGUGGCAGCAGUCGAGAAUAUUUCACAAUGGGGGAAACUCUGAUGGUGCGACGCCGCGUGGGGGAAUGAAGGUCUUCGGAUUGUAAACCCCUGUUAUGUGGGAGUAAAUUAAAAAGAUAGUACCACAAGAGGAGGAGACGGCUAACUCUGUGCCAGCAGCCGCGGUAAUACAGAGGUCUCAAGCGUUGUACGGAAUCACUGGGCGUAAAGCGUGCGUAGGCUGUUUCGUAAGUCGUGUGUGAAAGGCGGGGGCUCAACCUGCGGACGGCACAUGAUUCUGCGAGACUAGAGUAAUGGAGGGGGAACCGGAAUUCGCGGUGUAGCAGUGAAAUGCGUAGAUAUCGAGAGGAACACUCGUGGCGAAGGCGGGUUCCUGGACAUUAACUGACGCUGAGGCACGAAGGCCAGGGGAGCGAAAGGGAUUAGAUACCCCAGUAGUC
rnacentral:rRNA from 1 species